UUUAGUUUCAGAGUAACUCUGAAUUUCGUUGUGCUUACCACCAAUUUGAAAGUAACACUUGGUCGUCCAAUGGUGUUACAACGGAAAUUCUUGGAGAAGGAAACAUUUUAUGCAGCAGCACUCAUCUUACCAGUUUCUGUGUUCUUACGUCAGUUCAGGAAGCUGUGAUCACAGUCAGUUUGAGGUACAUCACUUACUUUGGUUGCGGAAUGUCUCUUGUUUGUAUGGUUUUAGCUCUCAUUUGUCUCAUCUACUUCAGGUCGGAUUUAUAUCCUCAGAAGAACUUUGUGAACAUCAAUUUCCUUAUUGCUCUGACGCUAGCUUUUACGUUCUUUCUAGCAGGAAUAGAUCAAUCUAGCAACCGGGCUACAUGCAAGGCAAUGGCCAUCAUAAUGCACUAUCUGUUUCUGGUAGCAUUUUGCUGGAUGUUGUGUGAAGG